UACGUAGGUGGCAAGCGUUGUUCGGAUUCACUGGGCGUAAAGGGUGCGUAGGCGGCGCGGUAAGUCGGGUGUGAAAUCUCGGAGCUUAACUCCGAAACUGCAUUCGAUACUGCCGUGCUUGAGGACUGGAGAGGAGACUGGAAUUUACGGUGUAGCGGUGAAAUGCGUAGAUAUCGUAAGGAAGACCAGUGGCGAAGGCGGGUCUCUGGACAGUUCCUGACGCUGAGGCACGAAGGUCAGGGGAGCAAACGGG
rnacentral:rRNA from 1 species